rnacentral:lncRNA from 1 species
UCCGCUUCAUAAUAUUGAAAUUGAAUUUUUCAUAAUCAUGAUAUUACAUUAUACAAAGAAAGAUAGAGGGUUACCUCUUAGGAGAAUAGUUGCCAACAACAAAAAAAAUGAAAAAGUUGUGAACUCGAAAUCACAAACCAAACCUCAAACUCCAAUUCGUUGUCUACUCGUCUUGUACUCUCUUCGAUUUUCUCUUUUUGUUUUUCCUAAGUUUUGCACCUCUCCUUCUGUGAUUUCUCUUUUCAAAUUCUUUCUCAUCUUUGUUUUCUUAAAUUCUCACUGUUCGUCCCUUCCUUUCUCUUUUCUCUUACCUUUUUCUCUCUUUUUUUUUGUUUAAUUUUCUAAUGCCUUUUAAAUUUUCCAUGUUGUUCUCUUCUUUGUCUUUUUUUUUUUGUUUCAGUUUCCUUUUUUAUUUUUGGGUUUCUGUCUGU